CCUACGGGGGGCUGCAGUAAGGAAUUUUCGGCAAUGGGCGCAAGCCUGACCGAGCAACGCCGCGUGGAGGACGACGGCCUUCGGGUUGUAAACUCCUUUUGCGGGGGACGAUUGUGACUGUACCCCGCGAAUCAGGCUCGGCUAACUCUGUGCCAGCAGCCGCGGUAAGACAGAGGAGCCAAGCGUUGUCCGGAUUGACUGGGCGUAAAGCGCACGCAGGCGGCUGGGCACGUGGGGUGUGAAACCUGGCGGCUUAACUGCCAGACGCCAUCCCAUACGGCCCGGCUCGAGGCAGGCAGAGGUUCGUGGAAUUGCCGGUGUAGUGGUGAAAUGCGUAGAGAUCGGCAGGAACACCAAGGGCGAAAGCAGCGAACUGGGCCUGUUCUGACGCUCAGGUGCGAAAGCGUGGGGAGCGAACCGGCUUAGAUACCCGAGUAGUC
rnacentral:rRNA from 1 species